rnacentral:rRNA from 1 species
AGAGCACACGGGGGAUGCCUAGGCUCUCAGAGGCGAAGAAGGACGUGAUAAGCUGCGAUAAGCUUCGAUAAGGUGCAAAUAACCGUUAAGUCGAAGAUUUCCGAAUAGGACAACCUGUAUAUCCUUUUAUAAGGAAGCCAACCCGCUGAACUGAAACAUCUAAGUAGGCGGAGGAAAAGAAAGAGAAAUCGAUUCCCUAAGUAGCGGCGAGCGAACCGGGAACAGCCCAAACCGGUUAUGUUUAGGCAUAGCCGGGGUUGUAGGACUGCGAUAUUUGGUAUAUAAUUGAAAUAGAAGUUGCAUGGAAAGGCACACAGUAUAAGAUGACAGUUCUGUAUAUGUAAGAUUAUAUAUUGAUAGCAGUAUCCUGAGUAGGGCGGGGCACGAGAACCCCUGUCUGAAUUAGCCCGGACCACCGGGUAAGGCUAAAUACUCCUGAGAGACCGAUAGUGAACCAGUACCGUGAGGGAAAGGUGAAAAGAACCCCGAACAGGGGAGUGAAAAAGAACCUGAAACCGUGUGCUUACAAGCGGUCGGAGCCCUAAUGGGGUGACGGCGUGCCUUUUGCAUAAUGAGCCUACGAGUUGCUCCUAUAUGGCAAGGUUAAAUACUUAAGGUAUGGAGCCGAAGCGAAAGCGAGUCUUAACAGGGCGAAAAGAGUCAUAUGGGGCAGACGCGAAACCUUGUGAUCUACCCUUGGGCAGGUUGAAGUUUCGGUAACACGAAAUGGAGGACCGAACCGAUAAACGUUGAAAAGUUUCCGGAUGACCUGAGGGUAGGGGUGAAAGGCCAAUCAAACUGGGAGAUAGCUCGUACUCCCCGAAAUGCAUUUAGGUGCAGCCUUGUAAUGAGUAUAUUGGAGGUAGAGCUACCGAUUAGACUAGGGGGAUUCAACUCCUACCGAAUCUUGACGAACUCCGAAUGCCAGUAUAUGCUUUACAGGAGUGAGGCGAUGGGUGCUAAGGUCCGUUGCCGAGAGGGGAACAACCCAGACUGCCGGCUAAAGGUCCCAAAACAUAUGCUAAGUUGACCAAACGAGGUGAGGUUGCACAGACAGCUAGGAUGUUGGCUUGGAAGCAGCCAUUCAUUUAAAGAGUGCGUAACAGCUCACUAGUCGAGCGACCUUGCGUGGAUAAUACGCGGGCAUAAAGCAUAUUACCGAAGCUGCAGAUUGUGUAUGAAUUUAUACAAUGGUAGGGGAGCAUUCUAACAGCGGAGAAGUGCGAGUGAUUGUGGAGCGGUUAGAAACGCAAAUGUAGGCAUGAGUAACGAUAAUGGAGGCGGGAAACCUCCACGCCGAAAAGCUAAGGAUUCCGGGGCUAUGCUAAUCAGCUCCGGGUUAGUCGGGACCUAAGGAGACCCCGAACGGGUUAUUCGAUGGACAGAAGGUUAAUAUUCCUUCACCUUGUAUACACUAAAAGUGACGGAUUGACGAGGCUGUUACGUGCUGACGGAAAUGCACGUAGAGCUUAGCCUUCGGGCGAAGCGAAACAGAUACAUCGGUUCCAAGAAAAGCGAGUAUACAAGCCCGUACCGUAAACCGACACAGGUAGCUGGGAAGAGAAUUCUAAGGCGCUCGGAAGAUUCACGGUUAAGGAACUAGGCAAAAUAACCCCGUAACUUCGGGAUAAGGGGAACCUCAGCAAUGAGGUCGCAGAGAAAUGAUCCAAGCGACUGUUUAGCAAAAACACAGGGCUAUGCCAACUCGCAAGAUGACGUAUAUGGCCUGACACCUGCCCGGUGCCGGAAGGUUAAAUGGGGAUGUAAUCGCAAGAGAAGCAUUGAAAUGAAGCCCCGGUAAACGGCGGCCGUAACUAUAACGGUCCUAAGGUAGCGAAAUUCCUUGUCGGGUAAGUUCCGACCUGCACGAAUGGUGUAACGAUUUGGAUACUGUCUCGACCGUGAUUCCGGUGAAAUUGUAGUAUCGGUGAAGAUGCCGAUUACCCGCGAUGGGACGGAAAGACCCCGUGAACCUUUACUAUAGCUUAACAUUGUUUUUGGGCACAAGAUGUGUAGGAUAGGUCGGAGACUUUGAUACGGCGUCGCCAGGCGUCGGGUAGUCACCCUUGAAAUACGACCCUUUUUGUGUCUGGAAUCUAACCUGUGAGAGCGGGGACAUUGUUUGGUGGGUAGUUUGACUGGGGUGGUCGCCUCCAAAAGAGUAACGGAGGCUUCCCAAGGUUCCCUCAGCACGCUUGGUAACCGUGCGCAGAGUGUAAUGGCACAAGGGAGCUUGACUGCGAGACCUACAAGUCGAGCAGGGACGAAAGUCGGGCAUAGUGAUCCGGUGAUUCCGUGUGGAAGGGUCAUCG